GCAGAUAUGUAUGUGUAGGUGAUUGCUCAAUCCUCACAUUUUUCCAGCCACACAUUACACAUUACUUGCAUAUAUACAUCUUUAACACAUAAAAUCCUGCUUAAUUUUUCCAGUCUCUCAUCAUAAUAUAAUACUUGCUACUGAUUUAUACAAUGCAUGCACACUCAAUUUUUACGUGUAAUAAACACGGGAUUUGGAUUCAUUAUUCGCCAAGGCCAUAUUGCAAAAAGUACAAAUUCAUAAAAAAGUGACUCCUGUCCGACAUCCUGUCCACCAUUCUUAUCAUAUCAUUGAGCAGCGAUGAGUUUCGUACAGAUAUAUAUUUUUCAAAGAAAAUACAUCCGAAAAUGUGACAGUUUUUGCAAAAUUAUUGUGUUAAAUAAAGUUUUGUAUAAUCUUUUUUAUAAUUCUUUUAUCUACAACAUUUUAGUUCAAAAUCGUACCAGUAGUGACAAACUGUAGAAAUUCAUUGAGAACAAAACUCCAAAAUAUUUCUGAAAUAAUAUUUACUAAACAUUGAUACAUAUUUCGGAAAUAUAUAAAAACACUAACAUACACACGCACUAACUUUGACCCUCGCUUUAAAUAAAAGAACAAUUACAGUACAACUAAUCUCAUCCACACCCAAAAUUCUAGCCACUCCAAAGCCAGCAAACGCCUUGCCUCAUGCAAGACCUACAUAAAUAAAUUUCCACGUACUUCAUCCUCAUAUUAUCAUCUUCGUUUCCACUUACACAUGGAACAUAUGUAUGUGCAUAAGAAAAGGAAGAAAAGAAACAUCUCGACCACGACGACGAUUUGUCUCAUCAAUGGAUCACUGGAGGUCGGGUGUCAUGUGACGAAAACGGAAUAAAGUUUGACCAAUUAUCAAACAGUUAAUGGUCAAUGCAGCCACCGUGGAACUUUUUGGGGACAAUGAAACUUAAAAAUUAAGAAUCUUGAUGAAAGGGUAGAAAAAUGUUAUACAUAUUUCUAUGUACACAUCUUAAAUAAAAAUAAUUCCCUCGAGUUUUGGGCACUUAUUGAGAUAAUUUUUCGAAAUUUGAUAGUCAAAAGUUCGAAUAAAAAUGUUAAAUCUUUUUCUUUCUGUA